GGAGACGGAUGCGGUCUUUUGAAGGCCUUAGUCCCUGCCCUGGUGAAGCCGACUGCGAGGUUCCGCAGGGCAUGCAGGCGGCCCGGGGAUCGCUGCGAAGGGGUUGCGGGCUAACUUAGCUACUGCCGUUUCUAGAUAUGCAACUGUCGAGGCCCUGUUUACAAGCGGGCAUAAGGACAGAGUAUUAAGGGAGAACUCAAGAGAAUGGAAAGGCCUUUCGGGUAGUGGUUAAAAUAAAGAAGAGUAGAAACUAGGUUUUUAAAUUUUAAAUGAAAUUAUAUCAGGCAGAAUUUCUGUUGGAUCUCAGGAUGCACCAUCCAAAAAUAGGACUGUAGGAGAACAGAAUAUGCCAUGCUACAGUAUACUUCUAGGGUAUAUUUUGAGCAGGUAUUCUGAUAAGAUGCAGACACAUGAGUCGCUCUGAAAAUCUGUCCUCUUGUAAAAGAAAUUUACAUCUUCAGAGGAAAUAUACAUCAGUAAAGCAUCUAUAUCACGAAGAGGGCAGCUCUGCGAUAAUUUUUGUUACCUGGGAGAUUUUAUCUGCAUACCAAGACAACUUUUAUUCACUGUUUAUUUCCUCCCCUCACCUUUCCACAACUUUGUGGCCAGCCAUCCCCCAGAAAGCCGCAAACCACCAUUUCUUGAGUAGGGUAAGAUGCUGUAUAAUCUUCAAUCAUCUGACCAUGGUGGGACUCCUCUGCAUGUGUAGUUAAGUACGGGUUUUUUUUCUUGUUAAUGUCUAUGUCAAGUUAAUUUGUAACUCAGCCAAAGAACCUAGGAGGAUGGAGGGAAGCUGUUUUUCCCUCUCCUACACCUCAGUAACCUACUGCCAGCUGACGAAAUAGAACAUUACUAAAGCCACCUGUACAUCUUUCUCCUUUUGAAUUAACCUUCACUCCGAAGAAGUAAUGGAUUUUCUGAAUUUACUGUUAACUUCUACCAUGCAGAUUUUUAUAUAUUAAUGACACAUUUUUUAUAUUAAUGACUAAAUCCCUGAAUGAGGAUAUUGUACUAUUUUGCAUGUUUUAACCAUUAAAUGAAUAAUUAUGUGUGCCUCUGGCUUUUUUCAAUCAAUAUUGCUGUGGUUCAUGUUGAUAUAUUAAUAAUAGUAACUCGCACGUGAUUGACCUUUAUCAUUCUAAGCACUUUACUUCAUUUAUUGCUCACAAACCCCGUAGGAUAACUUUGAUCUUUUAAGAUGAGGAAACUGCGACACAGACAGGUUGCUAUAGUACUCCAUUGUAUUAAUAUGCCAUACCUUAUCCAUUCUCCUGCUUAAUUCCUCAAACUUUGUAGAUAUUCAACUGCUAGUUAAGAUAAGAAUGUGGAAACAUUUGUGUUGCCCAUAAUUUUGCUUUGUGAUAUUUCUAAUAUUUAUUUCUAUUUUUAUUUUGAGACAGAGUCUUGCUCUGUCACCCAGGCUGGAGUGCAAUGGCACAAUCUUGGCUCACUGCAACCUCUGCCUCCCCAGGUUCAAGCAAUUCUCCUGCCUCAGUCUCCCAAGUAGCUGGGUUACAGGCCUGGCUACUUUUUUGUAUUUUUAAUAGAGACGGGUUUCUCCAUGUUGGCCAGGCAGGUCUCGAACUCCUGACCUCAGGUGAUCCACCCGCCUUUGCCUCCUAAAGGGUUGGGAUUGCAGGCGUGAGCCAGCUAGUAUUUCUUUAUUGUAUUCAACUUGGCUGUCUCACCAACAGAGACAUCACACCAUUUUGUCAGUUACAGAAGAAUGAGACAUCUGGCCGCCAGAGGUCAGCCUAACUAUAUUUUGGUUAGGUUUGUUUUUGUUGUUUUUUUUUUUUUUUUCAAUGGUUAAAGCCAUGGGGGGAGGGGUUCAGUUUUUUUGAUAUUAUAAUCUGAAAAUAUUUUUUUAAAGAUGCUAGAUUAAAUUUAAACAACAUAGUAUACUGCCUUAAAGCUUACAUGUUUCCUGACUUCUGUACUGUGAAACAGAACAAAAACAAUUAUGGGAAAGUAAGAGCCUUUUUAAAAAUUUUCUGAGUAACAUAAUAACUGAAGUUUAGCCAAUUAGUAAUCUCACAGGUGCAAUCUGGUUGAAGUGAAAAUAGCAAAAAUAUUAGAGGACAGCACAAUUAAAAACCAACAGCUUCUCCUGUCUCAGUUAAUAAAGACUAACAGGUCCACGACAAAGAUUGAAUACUCUUUUUCAGAUUGAACCCGGUAAUAGUAUUAUAAACUAAGAAGUAUUACAUUGUUUCUUCUUAAAGGUAUAAGCAGUUUCCUUUAUAUUUUCGUAGUAGCAUCAUAUAUGUUGAUCCUGCCUUAAAAAAUUAUCUCAUUUGUCUUUGUCUAACAUUACCAUAUCAAGCUAUAACUUGGGAACUGUUCUCUCCCUGGAGUAAAAUAGAACUUGCUUGUGGUAGUUACUUACUGCAAGCCUUUGCCAUUCUCUGAUUGUUUCAGAUACAUUUACUGAGCCACUCAUAUAUGCCAGACACUGUGCUAGGAGUGUGUGAAAGCCAGAGAAAUACUCAUUAGAGGAAAAUUGCUGACCUGAAGCCAUACCAUAUGACCUUAUUAGCACAACUCAGUGUAUUCGAUAAUGAAAAUGUCCACUGACUUUAAUUUUGGAAAUGCCCCCUACAGAGUAGCAUAAACGACACAUUGAUACUGUUUCUUUUCUCAUGUCAAGCUAUGCCUUUAAAGGCCACCUAUGUUGCUAUAUAUACUUGGAAUGUAUUUCCACCACAUUUUACUAGUCCGCUUCUCUAGGUAUAGGAACCUGGAAUGCUUCUAAUUCCUGUCAUCACAGAUGUAGCUUCAGGGUAUAUCUUCAUACAUGUUCUUACGGGAAUUUCUUUGCUAUCUAUGCCCAAAAGUAGGAUUGCUAGAUCGUGAGAUGUGCAAAUAGUUUGCCUAAGUAGUGCUGCCAGUCUGUUAGGAACAGUUACUCCACUCUGCAAUCCCACCAGCAGUGCCAGUUCCAAAAAAUAACUCACUGACACUUGGCAUUAUCCAGCUUUCUUAUUCUACCAAACUGAUAGCAUAAUGUGAUCAUAUUGUUCAUGCUUUGGGAUUUUCUCUUCUAUAAUUUAGAUGUCUUUGUCCUUUGCUCAUUUCUUUAUUGAAGUUGCUAUCUUUCUUAAAAAUUGAUAUAACUUUGUCCUUGGUAUCUUUAGUUCAGUCCAGAAAUGAUUAAUUGUGAUGUGAUUAAAUUCAUUUUUUGGUCUGGUGCUUUAUGCUUUUUUGUUUAAGAAGUCUUUCCCUGGCCUCAUUUCACAAAGAUAUUCUGUAUUAUAUUUAACUAACUAUACGGUUUUACCAUCCCCAUUUAGAUCUUUAAUCCAUCAUGAAUCCUUCCUUAUACAUGUCAUUAUAUGUAUAGGUAUUACAUGGUUUUGCUUUUCAUUUUUUUUCUUAACCUUGUUCUUAAUUUUUUGUUCUUGUUCCAAUAGUUUUGCUUUUUUUAAUAUAGUGAGCCAGUUGUACCAAUAUUAUGUACUAAACAUAUCCAUUCACCCUUAGUUUAUGUACCAACCUUAUUUUAUAUUACAUUCCCAAAUUAUAUAUAGCUCUGUUUCUAAGCUCUUUUCUGCUCUGUUGGACUAUUGUCUGUUCUUACACUAAUGCUACCCUAUUUUAAUUUCUGUGACGUUAGUCAUAGUACAUACCUUGAAGAAUAGGAACUCCCUUACUCUUCUGUUUAAACAGUUCAUUUGGCUAUAUGUGGAAUUUUAUUCUUUCUAUAUAACCUUUAUAUAGAGUUCCUUAAAAUUUUGAUUGGAAUUGUAUAAAUUAAUAGGGAGAAAGUUGAUAUCUUUAUGAUAUUUGUUCCAUCCAAGAGCAUGGAAUGUCUAUAUUUUAAAUUAUCUUCUAUAUUGUUUAUUAAAUCUUAUAUAUUAGUGAUUAGUUCCUAGGUUCUUUAUAGGAUUAGGUUUUUGUUGUUUUUCCUUCUGUGAAAUGUCUUUAUAUAUGGUCUAGUUAGUAUUGCUAGUAUAAAAGUUAACAGUGCCUGAGUUGAAACACUGGCCCUGUGACUUACUAGAUGAAUGACUUUGGUCACGUAACUUAAUCCACAGGUAAGAUGGGGACAAUAAAAGUACCACCUUUUAGGGUUGUUAGAAGAAUUUUAAAGUAGUUAACAUUUGUGCAGUUACUAGAGUAGUACAUGGCAAAUAAUAAGUGUUAUAUAAGUAAUUAAAUUAAUGGAUAGUCAUAAGUUAAUCUCAGAUCAGGAACCUUGUUGAACUCGAAAAGUUUGGUUUUUUUUUAAUUAGAUGAUAUCAUCUGUAAACUAAUAGUUUUAUCUCUUCCAAUUCUUAACAUAUCUUUUUCCAAAAAGAGAAAAACGUUGAUUAGGACUUUCCGUCCUGUGUUAGACAGUAUCAGUCUCAGUCAACAUGGUCAUCUUUAGCUAAUUUCACUUUUUUGUUGUUGUUGUUGAGAAGAGUCUCAUUCUGUCACCCAGACUGGAGUACAGCAGUGUAAUCAUAGCUCACUACGCAGCCUCCAACUCCUGGGCUCAAGCAGUCCUCCUGCCUCAGCCUCCCAAGUAGCUAGAACUAAAGGCAAACACCACCAUACCUGGCUAAAUUUUUUAAAAUUUUUUUGUGGAGACAGGGUCUUGCUAUGUUGCCCAGGCUGGUCUUGAACUCCUGACCUCAAGUGGUCCUCCACCCUUGGCCUCCCAAAAUGCUAGGAUUACAAGCAUGAGCCACUGUGCCCGUCACUUCACUUUUAAAGGAAAUAUAUCUCAUCUUAUUCAGGAUAAUGUUUGCUUAAAAUUUUGGUAGAUAACCUUUACCAAGUUGAGAAAGUUACAUUCUCCUUCUAGUUUAGUAAAAAUGUUUUGUUUUGUCUUUUAAAGCAUAAAUACAUGUUGGUCAGGAACUAACAAAGGUUAUCCACAUUCAAUAUAAUGAUCUAUUUUUUUCCUUUAGUUCUGGUAAUUUGUACAUUUUUUAUAAUUUGAGUUAUUCUUACUUUCCUGGGAUAGGCCGUAUUUGAUAAUUUUUUUUAAUGUACUGUUGGAUUCUGUUAAUUGAUAUUUAGGAUUUUGCAAGUGAAGUAAGCCUAUAGUUUUCUUGUUUGGUUCAUCUGUAAGUUUGGAAUUUAUUGUUGUUAUCUUUAUAAAAGGAGCUGGUCAGUUUUCAUGCUUUUUUCUUUUUUGUGGAACAGCUUAUAUAGAAUUGGUCAUAGGAUCACAACUUCUGAGGUCCCAGCAAGAGUCCUAACAUCUAGCAGCUCUACCACCAGGACAGGCCCCCUAAAACUAAUUCCAACAAGCACCUCUGAAGUCUUCUCAUUCACAGGUUAAGGCUACCUUUCCAGAUAGUCCAACAGCUAAAUCACCAGUUUCCAAGGGCAUUUACGUCACCUAUGGAAAGCAUCGGAUCCUUUUACACCAGAUGUUCUUGACAGCUCAUCCCAUCAUUCCCCACUGCACAAAAGUUGCUAUACCAGCGGACAACCAAGACAACUACUGAGCUUCUUUUCGUUGUCAAGUAGAUAUAAUAUCACUGCCAGCAAAACAGCACAAAAAGUGUCUCUUCACAGUAUCACUACCAAUUGGGACUAUGCUAAGUAAAUCAGCUUGCCUAGAUGAGGACCUCUUGUAUUCUUGGGUAGCCAGGAUUUGAAGGAGAUACUCUGACCUGUGCCACUGUGCCUUGCUCAUGAAUGCAUUUUUGCUCUUCACUUCGAAAGGAAGCCUUUCCCCAGCUUGGCAGCUGAAUAAACCAAUAGCUUUGUACAUGUUGAACAGCGUAUGGUCAUUUGUCCUCAACAAAUGAAAUAGAUCCUACUUUGCUUAAGACAUAUUCAACAUUCACUAAGUACUGAAUAGAGUUAAUAGACACAGUACCUGAAUCUAUAUAGUAUGUCUGACAGGAGAUGAUUUGACGUCUCUAGAGAAGAAACGCACUUGAAGAAGAAAAUGUCUGAUACUCAGUCAAGAUUCAAAGUGAGCUUAUUUGUUUAUAUAUUUUAAGUAAUUCCAGGUUGCACAAAAUAACAGGUACGUAAAUAAGCCUUAAGUUAACUUUUUGUGUGGCAUAAACACUGGGUUUGGAAAUGAAUUUACUACAUUUGCACUCACUAUGUUGGCUUCUGGGUAAAUGCAGUCACUAUAAUUAGGAUAAAAAGAUGAAUUUAUCCUCUCCUUAUAGAAAUAUUUAUCAAAGGAGUAAGGAAACUAUUUCUAAACCAGUGGACAUUAACUGUCUUUUACUCUCAGUGCAGA